CCUACAGUCACCUUGGAAAUGGUGGUCCCACCUGUUUUCAGGUCAUUGACCAAGUCCUGUUGUGUAGUCCUGGUCUGCUUCCUCACCUUUCUAAGGAUCAUUGAGACCCCACGAGGUGAUAUCUUGCAUGAGGCUUGGACCUUUUCUCACCAAGCUGCUUGGCAAUUUCUCCGUAGCUCUUUCCUGCCGUAUGGUGUCUUCAUGCAGCUAACGACCUCACCCAGGUGCAUCUAAUUCAGGAUAAUACAUGGAGUGGAGGUGGACUUUUAAAGGUGGACUAACAGUACUUUGAUCGUCAGAAUUCUAGCUGAUACAAUUAUCUCUCUCACAGUGGACAUGUACCUACGGUGAAAAUUUCAGACCCCUCCAUGAUUUCAAAGUGGGAGAACUUGCAAUAUAGCAGGGUGUUCAAAUAGUUAUUUUCUUCACUGUCGGUAAGCA